rnacentral:misc_RNA from 1 species
GAUGAAGAACGCAGUGAAAUGCGAUAAGUAAUGUGAAUUGCAGAAUUCAGUGAAUCAUCGAAUCUUUGAACGCACAUUGCGCCCGCCAGUAUUCUGGCGGGCAUGCCUGUCUGAGCGUCAUUUCAACCCUCAUGCCCCUAGGGCGUGGUGUUGGGGAUCGGCCAAAGCCCGCGAGGGACGGCCGGCCCCUAAAUCUAGUGGCGGACCCGUCGUGGCCUCCUCUGCGAAGUAGUGAUAUUCCGCAUCGGAGAGCGACGAGCCCCUGCCGUUAAACCCCCAACUUUCCAAGGUUGACCUCAGAUCAGGUAGGAAUACCCGCUGAACUUAAGCAUAUCAAUAAGCGAGGA